rnacentral:rRNA from 1 species
UGCUACCAUGCAAGUCGACGGAAUCUUUCGGGAUUUAGUGGCGGACGGGUGAGUAACGCGUGAGAAUCUGCCUUCAGGUUCGGGACAACAGCUGGAAACGGCUGCUAAUACCGGAUGUGCCGAGAGGUGAAAGCUUUAGUGCCUGGAGAUGAGCUCGCGUCUGAUUAGCUAGUAGGAGUGGUAACGGCACCCCUAGGCGACGAUCAGUAGCUGGUCUGAGAGGAUGAUCAGCCACACUGGGACUGAGACACGGCCCAGACUCCUACGGGAGGCAGCAGUGGGGAAUUUUCCGCAAUGGGCGCAAGCCUGACGGAGCAAGACCGCGUGAGGGAAGAAGGUCUGUGGAUUGCAAACCUCUUUUGACAGGGAAGAAGACAGUGACGGUACCUGUCGAAUCAGCCUCGGCUAACUCCGUGCCAGCAGCCGCGGUAAUACGGAGGAGGCAAGCGUUAUCCGGAAUUAUUGGGCGUAAAGAGUCCGUAGGUGGGUCACCCAGUCAGCUGUUAAAUAGUGAAGCUUAACUUCAUAGAGGCGGCUGAAACUGGUGGUCUAGAGUGUGGUAGGGGUAGAGGGAAUUUCCAGUGUAGCGGUGAAAUGCGUAGAUAUUGGAAAGAACACCGGUGGCGAAAGCGCUCUACUGGGCCUGCACUGACACUGAGGGACGAAAGCUAGGGGAGCGAAAGGGAUUAGAUACCCCUGUAGUCCUAGCCGUAAACGAUGGAUACUAGCGUCGCCCGUAUCGACCCGGGCAGUGUCGUAGCCAACGCGUUAAGUAUCCCCCUGGGGAGUACGCUCGCAGAGUGAACUCAAAGGAAUUGACGGGG